GGUUGUUUGAACCGCAUGGUUCAAACAUAAAAGGUGGCUUCGGCUACCACUUACAGAUGGACCCGCGGCGCAUUAGCUAGUUGGUGAGGUAACGGCUCACCAAGGCAACGAUGCGUAGCCGACCUGAGAGGGUGAUCGGCCACACUGGGACUGAGACACGGCCCAGACUCCUACGGGAGGCAGCAGUAGGGAAUCUUCCGCAAUGGACGAAAGUCUGACGGAGCAACGCCGCGUGAGUGAUGAAGGUUUUCGGAUCGUAAAGCUCUGUUGUUAGGGAAGAACAAGUACCGUUCGAAUAGGGCGGUACCUUGACGGUACCUAACCAGAAAGCCACGGCUAACUACGUGCCAGCAGCCGCGGUAAUACGUAGGUGGCAAGCGUUGUCCGGAAUUAUUGGGCGUAAAGGGCUCGCAGGCGGUUUCUUAAGUCUGAUGUGAAAGCCCCCGGCUCAACCGGGGAGGGUCAUUGGAAACUGGGGAACUUGAGUGCAGAAGAGGAGAGUGGAAUUCCACGUGUAGCGGUGAAAUGCGUAGAGAUGUGGAGGAACACCAGUGGCGAAGGCGACUCUCUGGUCUGUAACUGACGCUGAGGAGCGAAAGCGUGGGGAGCGAACAGGAUUAGAUACCCCUGGUAGUCCACGCCGUAAACGAUGAGUGCUAAGUGUUAGGGGGUUUCCGCCCCUUAGUGCUGCAGCUAACGCAUUAAGCACUCCGCCUGGGGGAGUACGGUCGCAAGACUGAAACUCAAAGGAAUUGACGGGGGCCCGCACAAGCGGUGGAGCAUGUGG
rnacentral:rRNA from 1 species